UAGAUAUUUUAUAUCUGCAUUCCAACAGGUAAAGAAAUAUUCAUUUAUACAACUUCGUAUACAUGAAGAAAGCAAGAAGAAACGAUUACACAUACGCUACAAUUAUUCUAAUCUCUCUUUGGAAAUCAUUUUAAUCACGUGUCGAAUUCAUAGGUUUAUUGGGGUUUAUUUUCGAGAAUUCGAUGUUUAUCAGGAUUGAUCGCAUACCUGGCAUGACGAGGCAUGCGUCGCCACAAUAAUUACCGGGGGAUGCGUGUCUUUACGCAUAAGGCCCACGUGGAGGGGUUGUGUGGAGGGUGGCACACGCAACUUACGGCUCCAACUAUGAUUCACCUGAGCCAUCGUGUUACUAUAGCUACAUAUUUGGUAGUUACUGAUGAGAAGGCUAAAAUUUUCGUUUUGCCAUGUUUUGCACUGGAAAAGUAUAGAAAUUGAUAAGAAUCUAAAGGAAGAGAUCAGAAAGAAUAUGCAUAUUCUUGAUAUUAUUGGACAUUGGAUAAAAAUGUUUAUAAAAUUGUAUAAACAAUGUAUAGGUGUUUAUUGAUUGUCCAUAAUUCUUUAUUUUUUUUUGUGAAAAUUUAAUAAAGUUAGAGCUAAUGUUUUUUUUUAGGAUGUUAUAUGAUUAUAAAUGUUCUGGAUAUUUAUGUGAAUUUAGAUUUUUAUAAACACAAUUAUUAGAA